CAUCCCUAUGAAGAGUGAGAUUAAAAAAAGUAGUGGGCUGACUGUUGUUGAUGAAACUGUGUUAAUUCUGAGGGAUG